rnacentral:lncRNA from 1 species
UUCCAGCCCAUUAAAUAUUAUCAAUUGGGCCCAACAAAUUAAAGCAGGCCUGAUCAACGACGGCCCACAUCCACAUCCUAUAAAAUAUCUAUUCGAAAUUCGAUUUCAAAUCACAACCCAUUCAAAAUUCGAUUUCGAAUUUCAAAUUCCCAACCAAUUCCCAAAAUAUCCUCCAAUCAUCCAACAACUCAUUCAAAAUUCGAUUUCGAAUUUCGAAUUCCCAACCAAUUCCCAAAAUAUCCUCCAACCAUCCAACAACCCAUUCAAAAUUCGAUUUCGAAUUUCGAAUCCCCAACCAAUUCCUAAAAUAUCCUCCAACCAUCCAACAACCUAUUCAAAAUUCGAUUUCGAAUUUCGAAUCCCCAACCAAUUCCCAAAAUAUCCUCCAACCAUCCAACAACCCAUUCAAAAUUUGAUUUCGAAUUUCAAAUCCCCAACCAACUCCCAAAAUAUCUCUCAACCAACAUCCAUUCGAAUUUUGAAUACUUAACUACCUAAUAACCGAUUCAAAAUUCGAUUUCGAAUUUCGAAUUCCCAACCAAUUUUCAAAAUAUCCUUCAACCAUCCAACAACCCAUUCAAAAUUCAAUUUUGAAUUUCGAAUUCCCAACCAAUCCCAAAAUAUCUUUUAACCAACAACAACAACAUAUUCAAAAUUCGAUUUCGAAUUUCGAAUCUCUAACUGACUUCCCAAAAUAUCCUUCAACCAUCCAACAACCAAUUCAAAAUUCGAUUUAGAAUUUCGAAUUUCCAACCAAUUCUCAAAAUAUCCUCCAACCAUCUAAAAACUCAUUCAAAAUUCGAUUUCGAAUUUUGAAUUCCCAACCAAUCCCAAAUAUCUUUCAACCAACCACAACAACAUAUUCAAAAUUUGAUUUCGAAUUUCGAAUCUCUCAAAAUAUCUCUCACCACCCCUCCUAUUAUAAAUACGAGAAUCCAAAUCAAACGCCAGAGGAUACGAUUUUACAAAAAAAAAAAAAGAAGAUAGAUUGCUACACACAUUCCCACGUACAAAAUAUUCAAAGAAU